rnacentral:lncRNA from 1 species
CCUUUUCUCUUCCCAUCUUGAAUAAAGCCUUACCUUUUUCCUUGAAUACUCCUUAGUUUAUAGCAAUGGACAUACAUUAAUCAUAGCAGUUUAGGGUUUAGUUCAACAAAGAAAUCACUAGGUGCCUUUAAUUUCUCAAUAAACUAUUCAGUUUAUAAUUGACCUAGAAUUAUGUCUUUUAGGCUCAAAAGGGGUUGUAAAAUUCUCACUCCCUCACAAGGAAAAUGAAGGCUUCAUUUGGUC